GGGGUUUGCAGUUGAAACUGGUGGGCUUGAGUGCAGGAGAGGAGGGUGGAAUUCCUGGUGUAGCGGUGAAAUGCGUAGAUAUCAGGAGGAACACCGGUGGCGAAGGCGACCUUCUGGCCUGUUACUGACGCUGAGGCGCGAAAGCUAGGGUAGCGAACAGGAUUAGAUACCCUGGUAGUCCUAGCUGUAAACGCUGGGUACUAGGUGUAGGGGGUUUAGAUACCUUCUGUGCCGUAGUUAACGCAUUAAGUACCCCGCCUGGGGAGUACGAUCGCAAGGUUGAAACUCAAAGGAAUUGACGGGGGCCCGCACAAGCGGUGGAGCAUGUGGUUUAAUUCGAAGCAACGCGAAGAACCUUACCAGGGCUUGACAUCUACCGGAAGACUUGUGGAGACAUAAGUUGUUCUUCGGAACUGGUAGACAGGUGGUGCAUGGUUGUCGUCAGCUCGUGUCGUGAGAUGUUGGGUUAAGUCCCGCAACGAGCGCAACCCUUAUUCUUAGUUGCCAGCACGUUAAGGUGGGCACUCUAAGGAGACUGCCGGUGACAAACCGGAGGAAGGUGGGGACGACGUCAAAUCAUCAUGCCCUUUAUGUCCUGGGCUACACACGUGCUACAAUGGCCGGUACAGAGAGAGGCGAACCCGCGAGGGGGAGCAAAACUCCAAAACCAGUCCCAGUUCGGAUUGCAGGCUGAAACUCGCCUGCAUGAAGUCGGAGUUGCUAGUAAUCGCGAAUCAGCAUGUCGCGGUGAAUGCGUUCCCGGGUCUUGUACACACCGCCCGUCACACCACGGAAGUUGGGGGCGCCCGAAGUCGGUCGAUAAAUAGGCUGCCCAAGGCGAAACCAAUGACUGGGGUGAAGUCGUAACAAGGUAACCGUA
rnacentral:rRNA from 1 species